UACAGAGGGUGCGAGCGUUGUCCGGAAUCACUGGGCGUAAAGGGCGCGUAGGUGGCGCGACAAGUCAGUGGUGAAAGUUCGACGCUCAACGUCGAAUCGGCCACUGAUACUGUUGGGCUUGAGCACUGUAGAGGCUAAUGGAAUUCCUGGUGUAGCGGUGAAAUGCGUAGAGAUCAGGAAGAACAUCGGUGGCGAAGGCGCUCUGCUGGACCAUAACUGACACUCAGGGACGAAAGCUAGGGGAGCGAAUGGG
rnacentral:rRNA from 1 species